UGAUAGAAUAAAAGAAAAAGGCCUCAGGUUGCACCAUGGGAGGUUUAUAUUGGAUAUUAGGAAAAAUUGCUUCAGUGAAAGGGUUGUCAAGCACUAGAACAGACUGCCCAGGGAAGUGGUGGAGUC